UUAGCCCUAAAUCAAGGCUGGUAGCUUGCUGUAGCUGCUGGUUUCAAGCAGGAGCAUACAUAAACCUCUUCCUGUGGUCUGUUGGCUGGGCAAGUGAUCUGUAUGACCCAGCCAAUUCAUCUGAAAGAGACAGAC